rnacentral:rRNA from 1 species
UACGUAGGGUGCAAGCGUUAAUCGGAAUUACUGGGCGUAAAGCGUGCGCAGGCGGUUAUGUAAGACAGGUGUGAAAUCCCCGGGCUUAACCUGGGAACUGCAUUUGUGACUGCAUAGCUAGAGUACGGUAGAGGGGGAUGGAAUUCCGCGUGUAGCAGUGAAAUGCGUAGAUAUCAGGAAGAACACCCGUGGCUAAGGCGGCUCUCUAGUACGGUACUGACGCUGAGACGCGAAAGCGUGGGGAGCGAACAGG